UGUCUUCCAGCCCAAGGUGCAGUGCUGCAUCUCUGGUCAAUUGGGAGUCUGAGAUGAAGCACUGUAGCUCGGGAAGGGAGGAAU
rnacentral:pre_miRNA from 1 species